rnacentral:rRNA from 1 species
GGACGAACGCUGGCGGCAUGCUUAACACAUGCAAGUCGAACGAGAAUCUGUGGAUCGAGGAUUCGUCCAAGAGAAGCAGAGGACAGUGGCGGACGGGUGAGUAACGCGUGAGGAACCUGCCUUUCAGAGGGGGACAACAGUUGGAAACGACUGCUAAUACCGCAUAACGCGUAGAGGUCGCAUGGCCUUUACGCCAAAGAUUUAUCGCUGAAAGAUGGCCUCGCGUCUGAUUAGCUAGUUGGUGAGGUAACGGCCCACCAAGGCGACGAUCAGUAGCCGGACUGAGAGGUUGAACGGCCACAUUGGGACUGAGAAACGGUCCAAACUCCUACGGGAGGCAGCAGUGGGGAAUAUUGGGCAAUGGGCGCAAGCCUGACCCAGCAACGCCGCGUGAAGGAAGAAGGUCUUCGGGUCGUAAACUUCUAUCCUUGGUGAAGAUAAUGACGGUAGCCAAGAAGGAAGCCACGGCUAACUACGUG